UAACCUUGUCAUGAGAUAGCCUCUACGAGCUUAUGCGUAGGAUAGCCUCCACGGGCUUACGCGUGGGAUAGCUGCCAGGAGCUUAUGCGUGGGAUUUGUGCAGUCUUGGGCUGGGUCAUGAACUUGGUUAGUCCAAAGCCAGAAGUGAAAAACUUUGAAACUUGGGAAUCAGAGUAAUAUGUGAAUGGAUCACAUAAUGUGAAAAAUGAUUUAUGUAUAUGUACUGAUAUAUACACUUGUUGUUUGUUGAGCUUUUUGAAUGAUGAAAUAGCAUUUAUUUGAUGCUUGAUUUAUUUUAUUAUUAUUACUGUGUGUGGCUAUUGGAAUUCUUACUGGGCUGGAAAAGCUCAUACUACACUUACAUUUUUUUUUAGAGGCACGGGAUUUGUAGAAUCUGUCGGGUGGGACAAGAAGUGAGCUCGAUCUGGAGUCAGACUGCUAGAUAGAUAGAAGCAUCUUCUCUUUUGCUUAUGGACAUUUGAAAUUAUGUAAUCAUUCAGU
rnacentral:lncRNA from 1 species